rnacentral:pre_miRNA from 1 species
CUAGUACUCCCUCUGUCCGGAAAUACUUGUCAUCAAAAUGGAUAAAAGGGGAUGUAUCUAGACGUAUUUUAGUUCUAGAUACAUCUUUUUUAUCCAUUUUGAUGACAAGUAUUUUCGGACGGAGGGAGUAUGUA